rnacentral:rRNA from 1 species
UAGGGAAUCUUCCGCAAUGGACGCAAGUCUGACGGAGCAACGCCGCGUGAGUGAAGAAGGAUUUCGAUUCGUAAAACUCUGUUGUUAGAGAAGAACAGCGCAUAGAGUAACUGUUAUGCGUGUGACGGUAUCUAACCAGAAAGCCACGGCUAACUACGUGCCAGCAGCCGCGGUAAUACGUAGGUGGCAAGCGUUGUCCGGAUUUAUUGGGCGUAAAGCGAGCGCAGGCGGUCAAUUAAGUCUGAUGUGAAAGCCCCCGGCUCAACCGGGGAGGGUCAUUGGAAACUGGUUGACUUGAGUGCAGAAGAGGAGAGUGGAAUUCCAUGUGUAGCGGUGAAAUGCGUAGAUAUAUGGAGGAACACCAGUGGCGAAGGCGACUCUCUGGUCUGUAACUGACGCUGAGGCUCGAAAGCGUGGGGAGCGAACAGG